ACCUUACCAAGGCUUGACAUAUACAGGAAAAGCGUAGAAAUACGCUCCCCGCAAGGUCUGUAUACAGGUGGUGCAUGGUUGUCGUCAGCUCGUGUCGUGAGAUGUUGGGUUAAGUCCCGCAACGAGCGCAACCCUCGUCCUAUGUUGCCAGCACGUAAUGGUGGGAACUCAUGGGAUACUGCCGGGGUCAACUCGGAGGAAGGUGGGGAUGACGUCAAAUCAUCAUGCCCCUUAUGUCUUGGGCUUCACGCAUGCUACAAUGGCCGGUACAGAGGGCUGCAAUACCGUAAGGUGGAGCGAAUCCCAAAAAGCCGGUCUCAGUUCGGAUUGAGGUCUGCAACUCGACCUCAUGAAGUCGGAGUCGCUAGUAAUCGUAGAUCAGCAACGCUACGGUGAAUACGUUCCCGGGCCUUGUACACACCGCCCGUCAAGUCACGAAAGUCGAUAACACCCGAAGCCGGUGGCCUAACCGCAAGGA
rnacentral:rRNA from 1 species